AGCAGCUAAUGCAAUAGGUACUAAUAAAGCUUGUUUGGUUUCAAAUGGUUCAAGAAUGGACUAUAGACACUGGUGCUACAAAUUAUAUGAUGUCUGAUCCUAACCUUCUCAACAAGUCUACAAUAGUACAGACUAUGAAUCCUAAGAAAGUUCUUCUGUCAAAUGGUGAUGUGUCUUUAGUUACUCACACGGGAGCAAGUUCAAUU
rnacentral:lncRNA from 1 species